rnacentral:tRNA from 1 species
GCCGUGGCUCAGUGGUUGAGCGCCGAUCUAUGAACUCGGAGGUCACGGUUCAAUUCCUGGUCCAGGCA